rnacentral:tRNA from 2 species
CCCUGGUUAGCUUAGUUGGCAGAGCACUGCACUGGAAAUGAAGAGGUCCCGGGUUCGACAUCCGGACCAGGCG